UACGUAGGGUGCGAGCGUUGUCCGGAAUUAUUGGGCGUAAAGAGCUCGUAGGCGGUUUGUUGCGUCGUCCGUGAAAACCUGCAGCUUAACUGUGGGCCUGCGGUCGAUACGGGCAGACUUGAGUUCGGUAGGGGAGACUGGAAUUCCUGGUGUAGCGGUGAAAUGCGCAGAUAUCGGGAGGAACACCUAUGGCGAAGGCAGCUCGCUGGGACGUUACUGACGCUGAGACGCGAAAGCGUGGGGAGCAAACAGG
rnacentral:rRNA from 1 species